GGUGUGUUUAAGGGGUAGAGCCAAGAGGACUUGCUAAUGGGUUGGAGGUGGGAUACAGAGAGAGGAGCCAAAAUAGUCUGAGACACAGAAGAACAGAAUUGCCAUUUCCUGAUCUGGAACACAGCGCAGGAGGGGUAAUGCGGGGAAACUGGAGUUCCAUUUCAGGCACCUGUCAGACAUCUGCAGAGAGAUGGGGAGGGGCCCACUGCCCGUGCACCUGGAGCUUGGAUGGAACCAACACAGAAGAGUGCCAGCAUCGAAGCUGCCGCUAAGGCCACAUUUCUCACAGGGGCACUUCCAAUCCAGUGACACACCGAGGGGAAUCAAGGUCAGGAGGGGCUGUAAGAAACCACGGGCAUGGACCAUCCACUGACUGGGCACGGUCAGUGUCUGGACCCUCGGGUGCCAGAUGCAGUAAGAGUGGAAUGAGCAGGAGAGGACACAUGAGCUUCUCAAACGGAGUUUCUUCCAGAAUCCCAGAGAAGGCUCAGAGAGGUUUGUGGAGAAAGAGUGAAGUCAACUCAGAUUACAAACUGCACGAGAACAGACACCUUUGGCCUCAGUAAUGCAGCAUAAUAGGCCCAAGCACCACUCGAGGCAUGGAGCAGGCACUCAGGAAAUACCAUAGGAAGGAAGGAGAGGAAGACGGGCCUUGAGCUGGACCCAGCUGUAUUCACCAUCUCCCAGAUGAUCAGCCUAACAGAAGUCUUCGCCCACUCCAGUAGGAGCCACAUCA